rnacentral:rRNA from 1 species
GAUGAACGCUGGCGGCGUGCCUAACACAUGCAAGUCGAACGUGAGGUCUAUUUCGGUAGGCUGAAAGUGGCGAACGGGUGAGUAACACGUUGGUGACCUGCCCCGCAGCGGGGGAUAACUCUGGGAAACCAGAGCUAAAACCCCAGAUGUUUAAGGGUUUAGACGCCUUAAACUAAAACUCCGGUGCUGCGGGAGGGGCCUGCGGGCUAUCAGCUAGUUGGUGGGGUAAAGGCUCACCAAGGCGAAGACGGCUAGGGGGCGUGAGAGCGUGACCCCCCACAAGGGAACUGAGAAACGGUCCCUACUCCUACGGGAGGCAG